rnacentral:rRNA from 1 species
GAUGAACGCUAGCGACAGGCUUAACACAUGCAAGUCGAGGGGCAGCAUGAGGUAGCAAUACCUUGAUGGCGACCGGCGCACGGGUGAGUAACGCGUAUGCAACCUGCCCGAUACCGGGGUAUAGCCCAUGGAAACGUGGAUUAACACCCCAUAGUACUUUUAUCCUGCAUGGGAUGUGAGUUAAAUGUUCAAGGUAUCGGAUGGGCAUGCGUCCUAUUAGUUAGUUGGCGGGGUAACAGCCCACCAAGACGAUGAUAGGUAGGGGUUCUGAGAGGAAGGUCCCCCACAUUGGAACUGAGACACGGUUCAAACUCCUACGGGAGGCAGCAGUGAGGAAUAUUGGUCAAUGGACGUAAGUCUGAACCAGCCAAGUCGCGUGAGGGGAGACUGCCCUAUGGGUUGUAAACCUCUUUUAUAAGGGAAGAAUAAGUUCUACGUGUAGAAUGAUGCCUGUACCUUAUGAAUAAGCAUCGGCUAACUCCGUGCCAGCAGCCGCGGUAAUACGGAGGAUGCGAGCGUUAUCCGGAUUUAUUGGGUUUAAAGGGUGCGUAGGCGGUUUAUUAAGUUAGUGGUUAAAUAUUUGAGCUAAACUCAAUUGUGCCAUUAAUACUGGUAAACUGGAGUACAGACGAGGUAGGCGGAAUAAGUUAAGUAGCGGUGAAAUGCAUAGAUAUAACUUAGAACUCCGAUAGCGAAGGCAGCUUACCAGACUGUAACUGACGCUGAUGCACGAGAGCGUGGGUAGCGAACAGG